UAGUGUAUUCGACUAUAUAACAUAAGCGCAUUUCACUAGUGCACACAGAACAACUACAGGACAUAUAUGGAUAAACUUUGGAUAAAAACAGGCUGAAAGAUAAUGAAGGAGAAGAAAUCAGGCAAGAAUAUGGAUAAAACACUGAUGCUACUGAAACUUACAACCAUUGUUUUGCUGGCGAUCUUCAUCGCAAUGGUAACGAUGUACUUGGGCGCAGAACAUCAAGGCAACCAGAUGGAAAUAGAUCAAACUCUAUGCGUAUCAUGUGAUCAAGUCGACCUAACAGACAAUAUUUCACGCAAUUUGCGGGGCGCUGUUUCACGACACGAAGUACAGGGGUCAUACUUAUCCGAGUGUUGUGGGAAAACGAGCGUCAUCCUUUAUCAGAUGGUUGUAAAGAAACUCCAAAUGAGGAAGAAUAGACUAAGUCAAGCGUAUAUCAAAUGCAGUCAAAACCCUUCUGCUCAAAUGAAUGGAAUAGUAACCAAACAAAGCUCUGGAGAAGUCGAAGAUGUAAUCCACUGGAAUACAACCUUGCCAUCGUUUUUGAAGGGAGGUAUAGGCUAUAGAGACAGUAGACUGACAGUUUCCAAUACAGGAUACUACUUUGUGUACUUCCAAAUACAAAGUGAAACAAGCAUAGGAUCAGAUGAUACCCAGCGACAUUCCCUUUAUCGCAUACCGUCAGAAAAUGGAGAAGCUGAAAUGUUACUGGAAACCUUCAAACCAAAGUGUGAGGCACCUACUCAUGGAGUAGCAUCAACGUCCAAUAUUGGAGCUGUAUUUUAUUUGAAAGCCCAUGAUGAACUGUUCGUAAACACGUCACAACCUGAGAAUCUGGUGAAAAGUAUCAGCGGAAACUACUUUGGGCUUUUUAUGACUUAAUGGGUUUUGUGAACAAUUUUAUUCUCGCAUGAAAAGAAAGUAAUCAUACAGAUCUUCCACGCCGAUUUCAGCUAUAGGCAUCCUGUGCAUUUGUUUGGAAAAUAAUGAUGCUAUAUAUUAUAUAAACAUCUAUAGACAGUUCGGGACCCCUAAGUAAAUCCAGCACUCAUUUACUUUAUAUUAAUUGACUGAAGGUAAACAAAUUAGCAAUGUGCAGUUCAUGGUGACCUUGGUUUCACGAUCUGUCAUUUUUCAACCAAAACAGACACGGCCAACAAGACCUAUGGAAUAUAGGUAGAUCAAUUACAUGUCGUCGUUCAUUUUUGAGAAAUAAGUGACUAAAUUUGACAAUUGCGUUAGUUGUAAACCAUCCUGGCAAUGCAAAUGCUACGACUAAACAACCAGUCAAAAGCUUCUAAAAUACAACCACAUACGUGUAAGUUAUUACAAAAACACAAAAUUUACAUAAGCCUCCCUUUCCUUGCAUGUGCCUAGCGAACAAAAAUUGACCUUUCUCUAUUUUGUGAAAAUCGAAACGGUUGGUUUGUUGUUGUUGUUGUUUCUUCUUGUUGUUAUUGUUGUUGUUGCUCCUGCUGUUUCAAAUUUCUAAGUGGAGUAACUCAAAUGUGACAAUUGCUGAAAAAUGACAAGAGAGUGAACGUGAAAUGCAUACUUUGCCAAAUUGUUUACUAACAUCAAGCAAUAUAUAAUAAAUGGGUGCUGGAUUUAUUUCUGAGUCCUGAACUGUCUAUAAAUGUAUUUUUAUUAUAUAUAGCAUCAUUAUUGACCAAAUAAUGUCCCUAAUGCCUAUGAUUUUAACUAUACCCUUGGGCUUCCUCUUAACUAAUUUUACAAUACUGUUUCGUAUUUACAACAAACAAUCCAAUAUUUUUUUCUGAAAUGCAUAAACAAACUAACAUAAGAGGAACACUCAGUUGUCAAGCACGAAGUAUAUAAAUGAAAGUAAUUACUUUAUUUUUAAUUUUUAACGCAGUUACACAAAAUGACGGUUGCUCUAAAUAUAAAGCUGGGUAGUCUACUGAACACUGCACAUGCAACAUCAAUAAAUUUCAUAUUUUACGCAAACUGUAAAUUAAAAUAUAGAGUCAAAUAAUACUGCACAUUUUUUUGUUCAGACUGAAGUAUAAGCAAAAUUAACUACAAGGACAACCUAGGCAACACGGCAUUUCCUCUUAAAAACAGUUUCGUUGAAAUAAGUUGAUUCUUUACAAAGCUGCUGUUUUUAAAACAUGCAUUUUAAAAUUUCACCACUUUCAAAUAGGUAUACAAAUAUUUUGUUAUUUCUCUAUGUAAAUUAUACAGACGUCAAAAUCUGAGGAUAUGAUAUAUAAUUGACAAAUUAAAUAAUUUUGAUACUCAAUCAAGACUUUAGAUAGCAAUGUGCUUUGAGCAUAAUCUUUGGGUCUUAACCAUUACGAAUUUAAGUCUUGUUAUAAAUAUGAAAGUGCACACGUGGGAAAAAUGUAUCAUGUCGUAAGCAAUUUGUAUGGGGUUAUUUUAUACAUUCAACAUUUAGACUGCCCUAGGGUAUAAAUUGAACAUGUGGAGGAGGGUACUGUAGUUAGUUUUAAGUGCACUAAGUGAGCUAUUUUAAAACAGUCCGACUGUAAAUAGAUUAAAUUGUUGCUUGGUGAAACUUAACUAACAACAAGUGUAUAAGUUUAAAGUGUGUUGUUUUUUUUCUUUUAUAUGUAUUAUACAGCUGUUGCUAAUUAUUCCAUUAAUUACUUGAAGAAAGCCUAUUUUGUAAAUAUUGUACUGUUACCAAAACUUAAUAUUAAAAAUGAUUUAUUUAUUUCUGAUAGACAAAGUAUUAAAAUCAAAUAAUUGAAAUGUUACUUUAAUAUGCUAGUAUUAAGUAAUUUUAAGACCAGUUCAAGACAAAUGCAAAUCUCAUAUAAUUAUUUUUACCAAUUAUAGUAUUAGAUAUUGUAUCCAGCUUUAGUUAUUUGGGAAAAAAACACUGUUACAUCACAACUGCAAGUAAAAAUAAUUGUGGCAUUUUAUGUUUUAAUUCUGCAUUGAUUAAAAUAUACAUGCAAGCAAAAUAGUUAGUGAUCAAUAUUUCAUCAAUAUCCCAACCAAACUAUAAAGAAAUGCAAAAGAACAAAUAGAAUUGGUAUGUUUUUGCUUUUUGGUAUAUUCAGUGAGCUUGGAGAAGCUGACACCGAAGUCGAAGAUCAAAGUUCAAGCUAGACAGCUAACUUAAAGCUCAAGCUUCACAUUCGACAUUUUAUGAAGAUAAAUUUCGAUCAUCGUGUUUGCCUUCUGGUUGGAAAUUCAAUUUGCCAACUGUUUGUGCUAAUUCAGUUAAUCUUCUCUUCAGUCCGAUUCUAAUUGUUGAAUACAAGAACCGAAAGUUAAAAUGUAAUUUUGUCACGAUUUUUACUAUUUCUACAAGAACAUACAACUAUCGGUAAGAGUUGAGCUUAAAUUUUGAAACUGAACAUAAAAGCAGAUACGUCAUCAUAUUGUUUCAUUCUAAGAGGACUUCAACAACGGUAAAUAGUUUGGUUAGCAUUUAGCUUUGACAAAAGCAUAAUUCUGGAAAGUAAGCUGGAGAAUAUUACAAGGAAAAUGUAUUUGAAGUAUCAGUGCCAUAGCCAAUAAUUUAGGUAACACAUUGUAAUUCUCUGUACUUUAUUAUAUAUCAAAAUAAAUAUCGUUGUAUCUUU
rnacentral:lncRNA from 1 species